AGAGUUUGAUCCUGGCUCAGAAUGAACGUUGGCGGCGUGGAUUAGGCAUGCAAGUCGUACGGGCCGCAAGGCCAGUGGCGCAAGGGUGAGUAAGGCGACGGUAACCAACCCCAUGGGUGGGUAUAGCCGCGGGAAACCGCGGGUAAUCCCCAGCGACGCACGGCCCCGGCAUCGGGGCCUUGCCAAAGCCCAGGCGCCGUGGGACGGGCCGUCGUGGUAUUAGGUAGUUGGCGGGGUAACGGCCCACCAAGCCGACGAUGCCUACCGGGCGUGCGAGCGUGGCCCGGCACACUGGGACUGAGACACUGCCCAGACUCCUACGGGAGGCUGCAGUCGAGAAUCUUCGGCAAUGGGCGCAAGCCUGACCGAGCGACGCCGCGUGGAGGACGAAGGCCUUCGGGUUGUAAACUCCUGUCGAGGGGGAAGAAGGGCCGAAAGGCCUUGACUGAUCCCUGGAGGAAGCACGGGCUAAGUUCGUGCCAGCAGCCGCGGUAAUUC
rnacentral:rRNA from 1 species